rnacentral:tRNA from 1 species
AUACUUCUGGUGUAAAAAGCAUGCGUGCCUUCCAAGUGCGAGGUCUUCUUAGUUGGAGGAGGUAUA